AAAACCAUUACAGUCCUUCAAAGGUCAUACAUGGCUUUCAGGCUUCAGCCUCAGUAGCAGCAGGGUACUAAAUCUUCACUUGAGUUUCAUUCGCCUUCAGGAAGAAAAAGUACAAUGUGAGAAUUCUUGAGAUCCUUUGUGAAACAAGAAUUAAUUAUUUUAUUCCACUGAACUGGAUGUGAGAAAAAGGAAGAAAAAGAAGAGCAUCAC